rnacentral:rRNA from 1 species
UACGGGGGGGAGCAAGCGUUGUUCGGAUUUACUGGGCGUAAAGGGCGCGUAGGCGGCCACCGCAAGUCGACUGUGAAAUCUCCGGGCUUAACCCGGAAAGGUCAGCCGAUACUGCGGGGCUAGAGUGCAGAAGGGGCAACUGGAAUUCUCGGUGUAGCGGUGAAAUGCGUAGAUAUCGAGAGGAACACCUGCGGCGAAGGCGGUCAACUGGCCCGACACUGACGCUGAGGCACGAAAGCGUGGGGAGCAAACAGG